UUACGAGGUCAGGACACUGUGAGGAUUGACAGAUUGAAAGCUCUUUCUUGAUCCAGUGGGUGGUGGUGCAUGGCCGUUCUUAGUUGGUGGAGUGAUUUGUCUGGUUAAUUCCGUUAACGAACGAGACCUUAACCUGCUAAAUAGUCACGCGAACCGGUCCGCAAGGGCUCAAAGUUCGCGGCUCGACUUCUUAGAGGGACUAUUCGCACCCGCCAGCGAAUGGAAGUUUGAGGCAAUAACAGGUCUGUGAUGCCCUUAGAUGUUCUCGGCCGCACGCGCGUUACACUGACGGAGUCAACGAGCGUUUUUCCUUGCCCGAUAGGGUUGGGUAACCUCCUGAAACUCCGUCGUGAUGGGGAUAGAUCAUUGCAAUUAUUGAUCUUGAACGAGGAAUUCCUAGUAGGCGCGAGUCAUCAACUCGCGCCGAUUACGUCCCUGCCCUUUGUACACACCGCCCGUCGCUCCUACCGAUUGAACAGUCCGGCGAGAACUCCGGAUGGUC
rnacentral:rRNA from 1 species